AAAAAAAAACAAAAACAAAAAACUAAUUCCCAGGACAGUGUCUACCGCUAGUGAUAAGAACUUUGUUGCUUUUUAAACUGUGAUUUGAUUUAAACAGAGAGCCACAUCUGAAAUAGCCUGUCCAAUUAAAGUCAUCACCUGAUUGAGUUGUCAGUGAUUUAAUGCUAUCAAAAAGCUCCAGUUGUCCUCUGGCAUAUAUCAAGAGGCGAUUCAAAUGGCUAUAUGGCUGGAAUCCCCAGUCUUUUGUCUUUCAAGUUGUUAACGGUAGCAUUAAGCACAUACUUUGAUGUAAAGAUGUAAAACUACUUGUGCUGACUAGAUUUAUGUCAACUUGACACAAGCUAAAAGUCAUCUGAGAGGCAGGAACGUCAACUGAGAAAAGAACACCUCCAUAAGAUUGGGCUGUAAGGCAUUUUCUCAAUUAGUGAUUAAUGGAGGGUGGUCCAGCCUAUUGAGAGUGGUGCCUUCUCUGGGCUGGCGUUCCUGGGUUCUCUAAGAAAGCAGGCUGAGCAAACCGCGAGGAGCACCCCUCCAUGGUCUCUGCAGGAGUCCUGUCUCCAGGUUCCUUCCCUGUUUGAAUUCCUGUCCUGGCUUCUUUCAACGAUGGACUACUAUUCGUAAAGUGGG
rnacentral:lncRNA from 1 species